ACGGAAGGCAGCAGUGGGGAAUUUUCCGCAAUGGGCGAAAGCCUGACGGAGCAACGCCGCGUGAGUGAAGAAGGUCUUCGGAUCGUAAAGCUCUGUUGAGAGGGACGAGAGAUAACUUCAGGAAAUGGGAGUUAGAGGACGGUACCUUUCGAGGAAGCCACGGCUAACUACGUGCCAGCAGCCGCGGUAAUACGUAGGUGGCGAGCGUUGUCCGGAAUUAUUGGGCGUAAAGGGAGCGCAGGUGGGAAAGUAAGUCAGUCUUAAAAGUGCGGGGCUCAACCCCGUGAUGGGAUUGAAACUACUUUUCUUGAGUGCAGGAGAGGAAAGCGGAAUUCCUAGUGUAGCGGUGAAAUGCGUAGAUAUUAGGAGGAACACCAGUGGCGAAGGCGGCUUUCUGGACUGUAACUGACACUGAGGCUCGAAAGCGUGGGGAGCGAACAGGAUUAGAUACCCUGGUA
rnacentral:rRNA from 1 species